CAGUUCUUGACAUGCCCGGUAUGGGGCCGAGAGAUCGGUUUCUUCAGUUUGGCUGGCCGGGACACAGGUGCUGCAUGGCUGUCGUCAGCUCGUGUCGUGAGAUGUUGGGUUAAGUCCCGCAACGAGCGCAACCCUCAUCUGCAGUUGCCAGCGGUCUGGCCGGGCACUCUGCAGAAACUGCCGGUGACAAGCCGGAGGAAGGUGGGGAUGACGUCAAGUCCUCAUGGCCCUUAUGGGCUGGGCUACACACGUGCUACAAUGGCGGUGACAGCGGGGGGCAGGCGGGCGACCGUGCGCCAAUCUCGAAAAGCCGUCUCAGUUCGGAUUGCUCUCUGCAACUCGAGAGCAUGAAGUCGGAAUCGCUAGUAAUCGCGGAUCAGCAUGCCGCGGUGAAUA
rnacentral:rRNA from 1 species